ensembl:lncRNA
AACCAGUAGCAGCUGUUGAGCUCAGAUUUGGGUCUUCAGUCUCUGUGUGAGUGAUGCUGGUGGUGCCCUAGGUGGUCAUGGCACUGAAGGGGCUGCUUUGUGUUCUUUUUCUUUCCACUUCUAUUGCUUCUGGGCAGUGCCUUGACUCAGCAAUUGGCUGUCUGUUAGAUCUUCGCAGUGUAGUUGGUUCUUUGUGAAUAACUGAGUGGAGGGCAGAGAAUGUAGAGGCUGGUAUCAGCCACGUUCUGCUGUGCAAGGUGCUGUGAGGCAUGUUCUUCCUGGACUGCUGUAGGAUUGCUGGAGAGAAUUCUGUAACCCAUCCACCAGAUCAGUUUGAGAAGGAAAUGCAUUUACUGUACACUGGAGAAGCUGGAUGAAGAAGAGAUGUGGAAAAAGCCAGAAGACAACUAAGUCUGGUAACUGUUGGAAAAAAGAAGGCAAGCAACACGCUCUUGAAGUGUUUAAACAACUGCAGUUACCUUUAGCUCAAUGGCUCUCCUCCCAAAACUGCCUUUCUGUGGAAGCAGAGUAUGUGGAAAUACAAAACUGCGUAAGGAACACUGAUUUAUUCAGAUGCUCGUGCUCUACAAAUCAUAGUGGUUUUUUUUGCAAGCCAUGCAAGUUUGAGCUGUUGAAGAUUUCAAUUCAGAAUUUAGACUUACUGAAUGACCUCC